rnacentral:rRNA from 1 species
GUGGGGAAUAUUGGACAAUGGGCGCAAGCCUGAUCCAGCCAUGCCGCGUGAGUGAUGAAGGCCUUAGGGUUGUAAAGCUCUUUCAGUGGGGACGAUAAUGACGGUACCCACAGAAGAAGCCCCGGCUAACUUCGUGCCAGCAGCCGCGGUAAUACGAAGGGGGCUAGCGUUGUUCGGAUUUACUGGGCGUAAAGCGCACGUAGGCGGAUCGUUAAGUCGGGGGUGAAAUCCUGGAGCUCAACUCCAGAACUGCCUUCGAUACUGGCGAUCUUGAGUCCGGAAGAGGUGAGUGGAACUCCUAGUGUAGAGGUGGAAUUCGUAGAUAUUAGGAAGAACACCAGUGACGAAGGCGGCUCACUGGUCCGGUACUGACGCUGAGGUGCGAAAGCGUGGGGAGCAAACAGGAUUAGAAACCCUUGUAGUCC